CCCUUAGAUGUUCUGGGCUGCACGCGUGCUACAAUGGCGCUUGCAACAAGUCUUGCCAACCCGAUAGGGUGAGCGGAUCUUUGAAGAGGCGUCGUGAUCGGGACAGUUGAUUGCAAUUAUUCGACUCGAACGAGGAAUUCCUUGUAAUCGCGAUUCAUCAUAUCGCGCUGAAUACGUCCCUGCCCUUUGUACACACCGCCCGUCGCUCCUACCGAUUGAGCGAUCCGGUGAAUGUUUUGGACUGGCGUCAGAAGCGGUUCGCUCCUGACUCUACGAAAUUUUGUAAACCUUAUCGCUUAGAGGAAGGAAAAGUCGUAACA
rnacentral:rRNA from 1 species